CUCCUACGGGAGGCAGCAGUGGGGAAUAUUGCACAAUGGGCGGAAGCCUGAUGCAGCAACGCCGCGUGCGGGAUGACGGCCUUCGGGUUGUAAACCGCUUUCGCCUGUGACGAAGCGUGAGUGACGGUAAUGGGUAAAGAAGCACCGGCUAACUACGUGCCAGCAGCCGCGGUGAUACGUAGGGUGCGAGCGUUGUCCGGAUUUAUUGGGCGUAAAGGGCUCGUAGGUGGUUGAUCGCGUCGGAAGUGUAAUCUUGGGGCUUAACCCUGAGCGUGCUUUCGAUACGGGUUGACUUGAGGAAGGUAGGGGAGAAUGGAAUUCCUGGUGGAGCGGUGGAAUGCGCAGAUAUCAGGAGGAACACCAGUGGCGAAGGCGGUUCUCUGGGCCUUUCCUGACGCUGAGGAGCGAAAGCGUGGGGAGCGAACAGGCUUAGAUACCCUGGUAGUCCACGCUGUAAACGGUGGGUACUAGGUGUGGGGUCCAUUCCACGGGUUCCGCGCCGUAGCUAACGCUUUAAGUACCCCGCAUGGGGAGUACGGCCGCAAGGCUAAAACUCAAAGGAAUUGACGG
rnacentral:rRNA from 1 species